rnacentral:rRNA from 1 species
UACGUAGGGUGCAAGCGUUGUCCGGAAUUAUUGGGCGUAAAGAGCUCGUAGGCGGCCUGUCGCGUCGGCUGUGAAAACCUGGGGCUCAACCCCGGGCCUGCAGCCGAUACGGGCAAGCUAGAAUUCGGUAGGGGAGACUGGAAUUCCUGGUGUAGCGGUGAAAUGCGUAGAGAUCGGGAGGAACACCAGAGGCGAAGGCGGCGACCUGGACAGGUACUGACACUCAACUACGAAAGCGUGGGGAGCAAACAGG